UACGAGAGGCGCAAACGUUAUUCGGAAUUACUGGGCGUAAAGGGCGCGUAGGCGGCCUUCUAAGUCGAACGUGAAAUCCCCGGGCUCAACCCGGGAACUGCGUCCGAUACUGGAAGGCUUGAAUCCGGGAGAGGGAUGCGGAAUUCCAGGUGUAGCGGUGAAAUGCGUAGAUAUCUGGAGGAACACCGGUGGCGAAGGCGGCAUCCUGGACCGGCAUUGACGCUGAGGCGCGAAAGCCAGGGGAGCAAACGGG
rnacentral:rRNA from 1 species